rnacentral:misc_RNA from 1 species
GAAGAUCAAGGUGCUGGGAAUUAUGACAAUAUUGCAUCUUAUUAUUCAACAAAAUCUGUACAUUUACUACUUAUCACAUUAUUACUUAUUUGCAAAUGUUCUUGUUGGGAUGAUGGUAUCUUUUUAAUUUUAUGCUACUUAAAAAAGCGCACAUGGACCGGGACAGAUAUUAGUGUGUAAUUAUGUGACUUAUCACAUCAUUCUUUAUUUAAGUGUUUUUGUUGGAUCUUUUUUAUUACCUGCUACUUAAGCUUUUCAAUGCGUGAAAUUAUUUUCACCAGUAAUGUA